CUCAGAGUAGAUCACUUGUAGCAGAAGCUCGAUGUAGAUCGCUUGUGGUGGGGGCUCGGAGUCCGGCCCUUGUAAGAAUUCGGAUGAGGUCUACCUGCAAUGGGAGCUCAGGGCUGAAGUCCGGCUCCCGUAGGAGCUCGGACGAAGUCUACCUGCAGUAGGAGUUCGGGGAAGAAGUCCGGCUCCCAUAGGAGCCCGGAUGAAACCCAGAAGGCGG
rnacentral:lncRNA from 1 species